GACGAACGCUGGCGGCGCGCCUAACACAUGCAAGUCGAGCGGGGUAUUACGCUGAGGAAGCCUUCGGGAAGAAUCUUGUAAUACUUAGCGGCGGACGGGUGAGUAACACGUGAGCAACCUACCCUGGAGUGGGGAAUAACACUUGGAAACAGGUGCUAAUACCGCAUGAAGUAUAUCAGUGGCAUCACUAGGUAUACCAAAGAUUUAUCGCUCUGGGAUGGGCUCGCGCCUGAUUAGAUAGUUGGUGAGGUAAUGGCUCACCAAGUCGACGAUCAGUAGCCGGACUGAGAGGUUGAUCGGCCACAUUGGGACUGAGACACGGCCCAGACUCCUACGGGAGGCAGCAGUGGGGGAUAUUGCACAAUGGAGGAAACUCUGAUGCAGCGACGCCGCGUGAACGAAGACGGUCUUCGGAUUGUAAAGUUCUGUCAACGGGGACGAUAAUGACGGUACCCGUGGGGGAAGCCGACGGCUAACUACGUGACAGCCGCCGCGGUAAC
rnacentral:rRNA from 2 species